rnacentral:rRNA from 1 species
UACGAGAGGCCCAAACGUUAUUCGGAAUUACUGGGCUUAAAGAGUUCGUAGGCGGCGCAGAAAGUAGGGUGUGAAAGCCCUCGGCUCAACCGAGGAAUUGCGCUCUAAACUACUGUGCUUGAGGAACCUAGAGGUGAGCAGAACUGAUGGUGGAGCGGUGAAAUGCGUUGAUAUCAUCAGGAAUACCGGAGGCGAAGGCGGCUCACUGGGGGUUUUCUGACGCUGAGGAACGAAAGCCAGGGGAGCGAACGGG